UCCCUGGUUGAUCCUGCCAGUAGUCAUAUGCUUGUCUCAAAGAUUAAGCCAUGCAUGUCUCAGUGCAAGCCGCAUUAAGGUGAAACCGCGAAAGGCUCAUUAAAUCAGUUGUGGUUCCUUAGAUCGUACCCAAGUUACUUGGAUAACUGUGGUAAUUCUAGAGCUAAUACAUGCCGACAGAGUUCCGACCGUCGCGGCGCCCUCGGGCGUCGCUCGCGGGAGGAACGCUUUUAUUAGAUCAAAACCGGCCCGUCGCAGGCGCGCUUCGUGCGCGUCCCGAUCGCGGCCCGCGCAAA
rnacentral:ncRNA from 1 species